CGUCGGGGAGGAACCAAACCCUCCAGCACCGCCUCCUAAAGUGCAGGGUGGGAGUCUCAGGAGAAAACUGCUGGGAGGCUUUUAAACAUUUCAGGGAGACACAAAGAAUCUGCAAGAGCUACAAAAGAUCAGCAAAGUGCACGCAGGUUUUGCGCAGAAGGAAGGGCCGUCCAUCCCGUGUGCUGGGCACUGCGGAGCUGGUUGCCUCUGGAAAGCCGGUGGCUGCAGGAGCAGGAGCAAGAGCAGGAGCAGAGCCCUC